rnacentral:lncRNA from 1 species
UUAAAAGGUCAUUCUUAAGGCAGCAGAGGUUCACAAGAGGUGUUGUGUUGUUAAGGGGAUAUGGUUAGGGAGUGAGAGGUGGCGACAUAGAGGAUGGGAAGAAGGCUCCUGUAGAACACAUUUUUUACUGAAUUGAUCAUGACCGCCACACAAGAAUCUUGCACCGAGCAUACAUAUAUACACAUUCUCGGAAGAACGUGAAAUAUAUUUCAAAUGAAUCUGGAAGAUCAAAUAUCUUUUGUUUAGUUAACAAACUAAAAUUCCUUUUUCACCAAUAGAGGUUGCCCAAAAAAAUUAUGCUGAACUUAAGAGAUUGAAAUUUUAAAUUAGAAAACUCCAAUAUAAGAUAUCAAAGUACAUAAUAUGGCUGAUAACACCAACAAGCCAAACGAUAAGUUUAUAUCAAACUUUAAAUUAGAAUCCUCUAAUAUAAGAUAUCAAAGUAAAAAAUAAAAGUUUAGAGUAUAGACAAAAGCAUAUUGAUCAAAAAUAUCGUUUGGCUUCUGGAAUACAUCCAGAAUGGCUGAAGCUUGAU